UAGAGAAAAAGGGAAAACAAAAAAGCUUGAAACUAAUUUGUGUGGCGUAGAAUACAGAGCGAAGAGGAACGGAGAAACAAAUACUUCAGAUUCGAUUCUGAGUACGAGCACAUCUCUGGAACGAUUUGAGUUCGAGUUUGAAGUGCUUUGGAGUUGUGGUGAGCUGCUUGGUUGUUCCGUGGCCCAAACCUCCCUCUAUAUUUUACUUAUUAUUUUAUUUAGUAUUCAGACAAGAUAUCUCUUAUGUUGGAUUGGUCAUUUUUUAGACUUGUAUUGUAUUUUAGAAAUUCUUGUACUUACGACACCAAUUCUUCGGUGGUAUUUUUAGCUUUCUGCAAAUCAUACCUAUAAAGAGCUUCAUGUUGGAGAUUUACACUUAGUGUUUACCUUUUUCUCACUAUUUAGUUAAAUUUAGUAAAUAUGUUGGGUUGGCUUACCAAUUGGUUGACAACAUAGGUGCCAUCACGACUUGUGAAUUUAGGUCAUGAAAAUUUGGAUUCCAAGCCCUAGGUUCAUCAGUCUCACGAGUACAGGAGAAAUGUCUAGUAGAGUCUUGGAGAUUGGUAUGAUGACAUCUAUACCUAUCUUUGAGAGGUUAUAGGACAUUUAGGAAAAGUUUGUUCUUUCAUUCAUUAUCGUGCACACUUGACCUUGUUGAAAUUCCAAUGUUGAUAUCUCAUUCUCUCAUAUGUCGAGGACUCGUACGUCGGCAAGUGAUGGUCAGGACUUUAUUCUUGUAACUGCUUCUAAAAGCACUAUCUGAGGUAGAGGCAAGGGACGAUCUCAAGGUCGAGGUCGGGGUAGGGUCGUAUUGCAGCACUUGUGGAAGGUCAAGUACAAAUAGCUACCCUGGGUUGUGAUAGGACCAUACCUCCUAAUGCAGAUGUUAUUCAUGGGGAUGUGCAAGAUCUUGUCGAGGGGGAUGAGACAGCUCAGGCUCUACCCAAUAUUAUUGCCACCCCAGUGCUUCAAGAUACGUUGGUUCGUAGGUUAAGAAUCCUAUAAGAUAUGGCCCAGGCAGAAACUUAGCAUGUCACGUUUGAUGGUUCGCAGACCCAUGUUGCAGGUCAAACUCUGGAUCCGAUAGUUGAUCCAGAUUCCCAGACUCCCAUGACUCAGCCAGCUGCUGUUGUAGCUCUCCAUUUGGAUAGUAUGAAAUUUCUAGGUUUUGCAUCACAUUUGGCGAACAUGUCUUCUAUGACCAUUGAUGAACAAAAGACUUUUGGAUGGUUCAGACUAAUGAAUCCUCUGACUUACACUGGUGAAUUAAUCGAGGAUGCAUAUGAAUUUAUAGUUAGAUGUCAUGAGAGGUUGCAAAAUCUUUUAUUAGUGGAGUCUCAUGGAGUUAACUACAAAGAAAUUUAGAUGACUAGAUCUGCCAAGCAGUGUUGGGGAUUAUAUUAGUAGUAUGCCAGAUGGAUCCCCUCCACUAUCAUGGACUCAGUUUACUCAGGUAUUUCUACCCAAGUUUGUUCCACGCAGUGAGAGGGAGCGUAAGAGGGCUGAGUACGAGAAUUUGCAGCAAGAUGGUAUGUUAGUAGAAGAGUAUCAGGGUAAAUUCCAUGCCUUGGCUAGUCAUGCUUCGAUGAUUCUUCCCACAGAGGCUGAGAGAGUGAGAAGGUUUGUUAAGGGGCAUAUUAUUCCGAUUCAUCUGAGAGUUUCUCAGGUUACUGCUUCUGGUGUUCCGUUCCAGAAAGUGGUAGAUGUUGCUAAGGAGUUGGAGAUGAUUCGACGUGAGGGAUUUGAGCAGCGUGAGGGCAAGAGGACCCGUUACUCAGGAUAUUAUGGUGGUGUUCUGCUUAGGAUUCCAGGUUAAUAGGGAGAGAUUAUCCCUCUCAGUCCAGCAGACCCAUUCAUGAUGCUAUACCAGCGUCUAAGGCUGGUUACGCUGGGCAUAGUUCUUCGAGCAGUAUAUACUUCACAGGGUUCAUCUUCUAGACCUGUAAUUUAUGGAGGGCAUUCUGGUCAUUCAGGUUCAGCUUGCAUCUCGUAGAGGUUGUUUUUAGUGUGGUGAUAUGGGACACCUUGUGAGAGACUGCCCUAGGACCAGAUGUGGUGACUUACAUCAAGGUUCCCAGGCUUCGACUUACAGGAUUGCACAACCUCCAGCUAGGGAUGGCGCAUAGAGUUGUAGAGGUGGUUCUCUUUUAGGUAGAGGUGGUUCUCGUUAUGGUCGAGGUGGUGGUCGUGGAGGUUCACAAUCUGAGGAAGGUUCUUCUCACUGUUAUGAUUUUCCGGGUAGGCCAAGAAUUAUCAAUACAAGGUAUCAGUCAUCUAUGAGAUGUUGUUAUCACAGGUACUAUUCUGAUUUGUCAUCUACCAGCUACAAUAUUAUUUGAUCAUGGCUCUACUUAUUCUUACGUGUCCACCUAUUUUACUUUUGAGUCUGGAUAUAUUAUGUGAGUCUCUUAAUUUGCUGAUACAUGUUUCUACUCUUGUCGGGGAUUCUGUAGUGGUAGACCGAGUAUAUCGAUUAUGUAUUGUUACCUUGAUGGGAUAUGACACUCAUGUGGAUUUAAAGGUCUUAGAUAUGGUAGAUGUUGAUGUGAUUCUUGGUAUGGAAUAGUUAUCUUCUUACCACGCAAUGUUAAAUUAUCAUGCCAAGACAAUUACUUUAGCUAUGCCUGGAAUUCCUAUAGUAGAAUGGAGAGGUUCUCUUAGUCACCCUCGUAAGGGUGUGAUAUCAUUUCUUAUGGCUCUCCAGUUGGUAGAGAGAGGAUGUUUGGCUUACUUACCACAUUCGAGAUACUAGUGUUGAGACUCAUAUGCUUGAGUUUAUUCCAGUGGUGAGUGAAUUUUGGGAGGUAUUUCUGACGGAUUUUCCGGGUCUUCCACCUGAUCGUGAUAUUGAUUUUUGUAUUGAUAUAGAUCCAGGCACUCAGCGUAUUUCCAUUCCUCCUUAUCGUAUGGCAUCGGCUGAAUUGAAGGAGUUGCGGGAUUUGUUCAGCAAGGGUUUUAUUAGAUCGGGUGUAUCUCCUUGGUGUACUCCAGUGUUAUUUGUGAAGAAGAAGAAGGAUGGAUCAAUGCAUAUGUGUAUUGACUAUUGACAGUUGAACAAGGUAACCAUCAUAAAUAAGUACCCGAUACCUCGUAUUGAUGAUUUAUUUGAUCAGUUGUAGGGUGCUUCAGUUUUCUCGAAGAUUGAUUUGAAAUAUAGCUAUCAUCAGCUGAAGGUUAGGGCGGAGGAUAUCUUAAGACACCUUUUCGAACACGUUAUGGCCAUUACAAGUUUUUGGUGAUGUCUUUCCGAUUGACUAACACCCCUGCAGCUUUUAUGGACUUGAUGAAUGGAGUGUUCAUACCAUAUUUUUAGAUUCCUUUGUUAUUAUCUUCAUAGAUGAUAAAUUGAUAUACUCACGCAGUAAGGGGGAACAUGAGCAUCAUUUGAGGAUUGUGCUUGGGAUUUUAAAGGAGAAGAAGUUUUAUGAAAAGUUUUCAAAGUGUGAGUUUUGUCCUAGUUCGGUAGCAUUCGUAGGACAUUUAGUGCCCAAGGAGGGUAUUAUGGUGGAUCUCAAGAAGAUUGAGGCAGUUAGAAAUUUAGACCUGCUUUAGUUACAGAGACUUGGAGUUUCUUUGGCCUUGUAGGUUACUUACUAUCAAUGGUUUGUAGAGGGUUUCUAAUCCAUUGCAUCUCCAUUAACUAUAUCAACAUACAAGGAGGUGACUUUCCAUUGAUCUGACAAGUGUGAGGCUAGUUUCCAAAAGCUCAAGACUUUAUUGAAUACUGCUCCAAUUUUGGCCCUACCCGUGGAGGGAAAGGGUUUUGUUGUACAUUGUGAUGUUUCUCCGGUUUGCUUGGUUUUGUAUUGAUGCAGAAAGGAAAGGUGAUAGCUUAUGCUUCAAGGAAGUUGAAGGUUCAUGAGAAGAACUACCCUAUUCAUGAUUUAGAGUUGGCGGUUAUUGUGUUUCCAUUAAUUAUUUGGAGGCAUUAUCUUUAUGGUGUGCAUUGUGAGGUGUUCAUGUAUCAUCAUAGUCUCCAGUAUAUAUUCAAUUAGAGGGAUCUCAAUUUGAGGCAUCAGAGGUGGUUAGAGUUUCUAAAGGACUACGACAUGACUAUUCUGUAUUAUCUAGGCAAGAAAAAUAUUGUAGCAAAUGCCUUGAGUCGAAAGGCAGUAAGUAUGGGUAGUAUAGCCAUGUUACAGGUUGGCGAGCGUCCUUUAGCAAGGGAUGUACGAUCCUUGGCCAUUAGCUUUGUGAGACUUGAUAUUUAAGAAUUUGGUAAGGUGUUGGCUUAUAUGGAGGCUAGGUCAUCCUUGUUGGAGCAAAAUCUUCUCAACAAUUUGAUGAUGGUAAUUUAUGUAAGAUUAGAGACAAAUUGUUAAAAGGAGAAGUCAAGGUGGCAAUUCUUGAUAGUGAGGGAGUUUUGAGGAUUAAAGGUCAUAUUUGUGCUCCUCGAAUAGGUUAUUUGACUAUAUUAAUCAUGGAAGAGGCCCAUAGUUCGAGGUACUCUAUUCAUCCAGGGGAUACUAAGACGUAUUGUGACUUGAAGCAGCAUUAUUGGUGGUGUUGUAUAAAGAGGGAUACAAUAGAUUUUGUAACCCGGUGUUUGAAUUGUCAGCAAGUGAAGUAUGAACACCAAAAGCCUUGAAGUAUGACUAAGAGGAUGCCUAUGCCUGAGUUGAAGUGGGAGCGUAUGGCUAUGGACUUUGUGGUAGGGUUUGCCACGUACAUUGAGUAAGCUUGAUGCUAUAUGGGUCAUUGUGGAUCGACUUACUAAGUCUUCACACUUUGUACCAGUUCAGACUAUCUAUAACUCAAAUAAGUUAGACAAGAUCUAUAUUCAAGAGAUAGUUCAUUUACAUUGGGUUCCUAUAUCUAUUAUUUCAUAUUGUGGCACCCAAUUCACAUCUCAUUUCUUGCGGUCUAUGCAGAAGGAGUUGGGCACUUAGAUGGAUCUCACUACAGCCUUUCACCCUCUGAUUGAUAGUCAGUCUGAACGGACUAUCCAGGUUCUUGAGAACAUGUUGCGAGCGCGUGUGAUUGACUUUAGUGGUCAAUAGGAUUAGUUCUUGCCAUUAGCGGAGUUUUCUUACAAUAAUAGUUACCAUUCGAGCAUUGAGAUGGCACUAUUUAAGGCCUUGUAUGGUAGGAUGUCGAUCUCCAAUUGGUUGGUUUGAUCCAUUUGAGGUUAGACCGUGGGGUAUGGAUUUAUUGAGGGGGUCCUUGGACAAGGUCAAAUUGAUCCAAUAUAGACUUCUCAGGACUCAAAGUAGGCAAAAGAGUUAUGUGGAUCGAAAGGUUCGUGAUUUGGAGUUUAUGGUUGGAGAAAGAAUUCUAUUGAAAGUUUCACCCAUGAAGGUGUGAUGAGAUUGAAGAAGAAUGACAAUUUGAGCCCAAAGUAUAUUGAACCUUUUGAGAUUGUGGAGCGUAUUGAUAAGGUGGAGUAUCAGUUAGCUUUGUCACCUGGUUUGUCAGGUGUACAUCCUGUAUUUCACAUUUCAAUGCUGAAGAAGUAUCAUCAAGGUGGUUCUCACGUGAUUCAAGGGGAUUCAGUGUUAGUUGAUCAUAAUUUGACUUUUGAGGAGGAGUCGAUUAUCAUUUUUGAUAGACAAGUUUGAAAGUUGAGGUUGAAAGAGAUUACUUGAGUAAAGGUUCAAUGGAAGCAUCGUCCAGUGGAGGAGGCUACAUGGGAGACCGAGUCAGACAUGAGGAGAAGAUAUCCUCAGCCUUUUGAGGUUUAGGUGAGUUCUUUUCUUUUUCUGUUCGAGGACGAACAUUUGUUUAAGUGGUAGGUGAUGUAACGACGCGCUAGGUCAUUUUGAGAACUAUGACUAUUUUGAUUCUUUCUGUAAAAUUUAAAUCAAAAACUUUGAAAUAUUCUAUGACUACGAGUAUUUAGUUGAGGAUUUUUUAUUAAAUAAUUAAUAUUGUUAAUAGUUGGUGGAAAAGUCCAUAAUUCCUUUAAUACCCCUUUAAUUUUGGCCCAUGUAAUUAAAAUAUGUUACUGCAGUCAGUUUAGAGAAGAAGGAAAAACAAAAGAGUUGGAAACUAAUUUGUGCGGCAUAGAAUACAGAGCGAAGAGGAAGGGAAAAAUAAAAACUUCAGGUAUAAAGUUUCGUUUAGUCGAUUAUAAUUUCUGCAUAAGUGCACAUAAGUAAUGUGAAUUGUUGGAGAUUGAUAAUGUAUUAUUUUGUUGUCACUUGGUAUUGAGAAGUUUGAGAAAAUUUAGAAUAUUUAUUAGGUUGAAUGAGAUGGUUGUUUACAUAAUAAUAAUUAGGAGGCAAUCAUUAGACUGUGAUUACAAGAAUAAAAAUCAAUGCAUAUUUUGGGUUUUGGUUUCCGUCUCGUAGUGUAGUGCAGAAUGGGUCUCUUUUAUUACAUUAAAAUAAUGAUUUCAAAUAAAUGGCCAUGGUUUAGUUUUUUAAAAAGAUUUAUAGAAUUAAAAAUGAUUUGCUAAGAAUCUUAGCCCAAUCAUUAGGUGAUCAUGCCAAUGAUUGUCAUUAGUAGAUACUUUUAGAAAAGUAGGCAUUUUUGGUGUAACGUUACAGACUCCCAAUGUUUUUCGUGGUGCUGUUAAUUAGUGGAAUUAAUUCUCAUUUUAAUUCUUUAUCAAAUUAAGAUAAUAGUUUUGAUAUAUUGAGAUAGGUAAUUAAUUAUUAGGUGUAUAUUAUAUGAUGUAACAUUGAAUUUUUGGGUAUAUUGGAGAGAUUAAGGUUAAUUUCUAGGCUUGAAAUUUAGCAACUAUGAUAAAUUUGGCAUAUAAAUUAUAUCAAGAUUUGGAGCUUGAUUAAAGAUAUGAUUGAGUUUUAGGGUCUAUGAUAGACAUAUAAUAAUUUGAAUGUCUACAAACUCGCUUACUUACGAAUGUUGCAUAAUUGGUAGACUGGAAACGUUCCAAAAUCUUGCGAAAGGGAAGGAACUAUCUUGAGGAUUCGUGGUACGAGUUUGGUAUUUUAAGGUAUGUUAAGACAUUUAGACUUGUUGAAGAAUAUUUUCCUAAUUAAUGAUUAAAAAAUGAAAUAGACAAGGGGAUAAGGGCGAGAUGGGGUUCUCGUGUCAAAGGUGUGACGGGCAUUGGUACGAGUACCGGUGUUAUAAAGGGAAAGUUAUUACUAUAGAAUGUGGAUUGAAAUUUGAGAAUACUAAAGCAUAUGGGCAUUAGCUGAAAUAUUAUUGACUUGAAUUUCUUGUGUGAUUGUGUUUUCUUUAUUACACCUGUAUAGUUGUGAUAAUUUAGGUGGUUAUGUAUUAUGUUGAUAUUUUACUGAUUGAGGUGUAUCCUCAACACCUUAAAUAAUAUUGUGUGCAUUCAUUGACUUGAGAAUGAGUAUAAGUUGGGCACGUGGAGAUCGUCUGUGCUGGGGAUGGUGAGAUGUAAAGAUUAUAAUUCGGGCACGUGGAGAUCGUUUUUGCGAAAAUUGUUUGAUUUUAUGAUAGUGCGAUGAGAUCGUCCACACAGACACGUGGAGAUCGUCCGUGUCAGUAUACGGACCUCGCGAGUCCUCUAUGGGUCAUGAACUGUCGAUGUAUUUCCAAGGAGUAUCAUGUAUAUACGUUUGAGAGAGUACUAUUUAUUCUGAGACAACAUUUCAUCGUAUAAUAUUGCAUUGCAUUUCAUCACAUCCUUCAUUCUUGGUGAUUAUGUGUUUUGGUGGUUGAAAAGUACUUGAUAUUUCAUACCUCUAUUUGAUGAAACUUUACUGGUAAGUAUAGAUAGACUUGUAUAGUUAAUGAAAUAAUUUUUCUUAUAUAAACUCCCAUCACUACUUCUUCGUAGUCGGUCUAUGAGAUAUAUUGAAUACACAAAAUUUCGUACUCAUACUAUACUUGUUACACUCUUUGUGGUGCAUAUUUGAUUUCGAGUACAAGCACAUCUCGUGGAGCUAUUCGAGUCCGAAUUUAAAGUAUUUUGGAGUUGAGGGUCUGACGCACCUGUUUUGCAUCUCCAUGGCUAGAGAUCACUUAGUCGAUAUUAAAUAUUGGGUCUGACGCUCCUACCUCUCAUACUUGUGGCUAGUGAUCCAUAUAAACAUUGAAGAUUGGUGAGUCCUCAUGUUUCGAGGAUCAAAAUUUGUCUAUGCUUUCAUGUAUUUUCAUUUUAUAUUUUGUAUGCAAAGUAUGAGUUAUGUCUCAAUAUUUUUCUUAUGAUGUAAUAGAUGAGUUUGAUACUUGUGAUAGACUUUCACUAUAUAUUUUGUCAAACUCUUUGAUAUAUGAA